rnacentral:rRNA from 1 species
CCCUUAGAUGUCCUGGGCCGCACGCGUGCUACACUGAUGCAUACAGCGAGUACUUUCCAGCUCCGCGAGGCAGCUGGUAAUCAGCAAUAUGCAUCGUGCUGGGGAUAGAUCUUUGGAAUUAUAGAUCUUGAACGAGGAAUUCCUAGUAAGCGCAAGUCAUUAGCUUGCGCUGAUUAAGUCCCUGCCCUUUGUACACACCGCCCGUCGCUCCUACCGAUUUCGAGUGAUUCGGUGAACCUUUUGGGCAGCGUCUGUCCUCGUGUCAGAUGCUGAAAGUCAAGUAAACCAUAUCACUUAGAGGAAGGAGAAGUCGUAACA